rnacentral:lncRNA from 1 species
AUUGGGUAUAAUCUAUUAUACAAGUCCAACCUUUAUACUACUUUUGAUCACAGUGAUUUGUUUUGCUCAAAAAGUGUAGCAAAUAUUUCCAAAAAGGGUAAAUUGUUCAAAAUGCCCGUAAAAAAAGAGAUUUAUUUAAAUGUUUAAAUCACCCAUCAUGAAACAGAUUUUCCAUAAUGGUCAACUAAAUUGUGAUGGCAUCUGUAAAAUCUAUGUAGUGAUGACUUCAAUUCACCACCUGAAAAUUUUGUUGAAAUAUAUAUUUUUUUUUAUAGUUUUGGGAAUGAUGGAGCUAACAAGACUGAUGGACAAAUACAUAAAUAGGGGUAUUUUCUUGAUGUGUUGAAGACCCAUUGGUGGCCUUGAGCUGUUUUCUGCUCUUUGGUUGGGUUGUUGUCUCUUUCACACAUCCUAAAUUUUACAUGUGGUAUGAUAACCACUUAGAUAACUACAGUAUCUAAUGUAGAAUAAUUUAAUUUUGGAUGUAAUGUGUCUUUUGAUUGGCUGACAGGGUUUUGUUUAAAAAAAAUAUUACAGUUAUUCGUUAAAUAAAGGACAAAGACGUCAACAAUUACAGGAAAAUAUAUGUCUUUCAACAAUGAGCAAAAACAUCUAAUAGUAAGCUAUAAAAGACCAUAGUAUGAAAAAUUGAGAAACAAUUCAAAAGAGAGAACACUUCAACUAAUGAACAAUUACAACUGACAGCAUCUAUUAACAAACCAUAGACCACAAAUUCCUAACCUGGUCUACUUUUUUGCCAAAGGCUGAGUUACCAGAGCUCAGUAGUGCAGUGGGAGUAUUGGACUUGACAAUUUAUGUCACUAGAGCCUUCUUUAAAUGAUGUCUUACUUUCAUUAUCGGACCACAGCUUUUUAAAAAUACACAAGCUGCUCUUAUAAAUCUAUAAACUUUGAAAAACUUGACUUUAUAGGAGUUUUAACAAUUCCAACUUCAAUUUUAUUUCAUCUCAAUAAAAUCACAAUAAAAUAAAAGGACAAACAUCCCAGUAACAUCUUUAUUUCAAAAUAAUAAAUCAAAAUUGCAAGUAAAAUGAGAAAACAAAAAAAAUAAUAGAUUAUUAAAGUCAGAAAACUGACAUGAUAAACAAAUACAACACUAAUGACAUCAAAUCUUCCAGAUCUGGUAUUGCUAAUUAAAUAAUAAUAUUUACACGUAAAUAUAAAUGUUAAAUGAAAUACAAUCAUGGAAGCUUCUAGCUAAAGAUGUCAUCUUAAGGAAAUCUUACUUAGGAAAUUGAAAAUUUCAUCAAGUUUGGGAUUUUUGAUUUUGGAAUCUAAGGGCACAUUUAUUUGGUCACAAUUUAGCCAAUUUGUGUUGAGGUAGUGUAAAGCAAAGAGUAAUAUACCACUAUUUGUUUUGUACUAGAUAUAUUUCCGCUGACCUUAUUGGAUUUCACAGUUAUUUCCCUUUGCCAUGACAUUGUAGGGAAACUUAUACCUAAAUUCAAUCAACUUCAACUUCUUUGAAUGACUGCUUAAUUUUAAGAAAAACCUUUCUAGCAUGGUUCUUUUAUCAUAAUUUCUUAUACUAUUUGUUUAAAUUUGGUUACCAAUUGUCAAAUAAGAAAAUCAACCAGUUUGCUUUCCCUCAUGGCCAAAAACGGAAAUAACUCGGAUUCAAAUUUAUAUCAUUGGGUAUAAUCUAUUAUGCAAGUCCAACCUUUAUACUAUGCUCAAAAGUGUAGCAAAUAUUUCCAAAAAGGAUAAAUUUUUCAAAAUGCCUGUAAAAAAAGAGAUUUAUUUAAAUGUUUAAAUCAUCCAGCUUUAAAAAAAUUCUCAACAUAUAUUGAAAUUUCAGACGUUCAAAAAUUUCAUUCACUUGACGUAUAAAUGUGAAAACAUUAUAUAAACUUUUAAACAACUGACACCAGAUGACUUACUGGCAUACAAGCAUGAUAUGUCAAAUCCAUCUCAUAUUUGAUGAAAAAGUACAUAUGUUCAAAACCAUAUCAUUAAUUCUAACAUAUUUUCAGUAUUGUGACAAUUAGUAUUUACCAUGUACAUUAAAGGUUUAUAUAACUACAUGGUUAAUUUUCAGUACUGUCAAUGAGUAUUUUUAAAAAUGUACAUGAAUGGUUCACAUAAAACAAAUUUUUUACAUGGUUAAUUUUCAGUACAUGUAACUGCAAUAAUCAAUAUUUAGGAUGAGCAUGAAAAAUUCAUGUAUGAGAAAUGUUCUACAUUGGUUGAUUUUAAGUACAUGUGUCAGUGUUUAGAAUCUACAUGUUUGGUUCACAUAAAAAUAAUUGUCUAUAUGGUUAAUUUUCAUUUCAUGUAUCAGUAUAUAGAAUGUACAUGUAUGGUUUACAUAACACAAAUUUUCUACAUGGUUAAUUUUCAUUUCAUGGAUUGAAUCAGUAUUUAGAAUGUCCUUAUAUGGUUCACAUUACAGAAAUGUUCGAAGUGAUUUUUUCAGUACUGAAUCAAUAACUAUUUUAAAUGUGAAUGUAUGGUUCACAUACUAAGAAUUUUCUAAAUGGUUAAUUAAUGUGCUUUAUCCAUCAGUAUUUAGAAUGUACUGUGUAUAUGUUAUUUAUAUUUGGUAAAAAAUAUCUCUAGACCUUAUGUUAGCAUUGUAAUAUGUGAAUCAUAUCAAAGUAAAACUUUUGUAUUUAUAUGGUUAAUUUUCACCAACUCUUAGACCAAUGUAGGGUUCAAAUACUUAAAUAAGAUGGAACAACAAAAAAAAUGUUUUCAAUAUGUCACAAAAAACAAUAAGCUCACUAACAAGUUGUAAAUAAUCUCUAAUGAAAAAGUAUACAUAAAAAAGGAUUUCAUUUUUAAUUGCAUUUAUAUGUUACGGAUUUCCUUGACAAAGAUUAAAAUUGUCAAAACUUUCUUGCACUGGUUAUAUGCGGCCAAAAAUAUUUAGAGUAAGGACUACUCUUAAUUCUAUUAGUUCUGUCUUUUUAAUGACUGAAUGUAUAGGUCACCUGACAAUGAGAAUAAGUUGACAACAAAUCUUUUAAAAAAAUCUCUACCGUUUAUUAAACAUUUAUUGCAGUAAAUCUUUUGCUGUAGUCCAAUUUAAAUCUAGAAAAAUUAAUUAUUCGAAAUGGCAAUUUUACAUUUGUAACAAUUACUUUCCUGUCAUUCUCAAAUUGAGUAUUUCUAUUUGUCCAUUCUUGUCAGUAUAUUGAAAUUCCUUGUAAAAAUGUACAUAAGUUGGAUAAUUUUUUGUAUAUUAUCUGAAAGCAGCAUUAAUCAAGUCCAAAAGAAACUAAUGAAUUAACAAAUUAUCACAACGAUCAUUUUAAUGCUUAAAAUAUAUCUAAAUAAGUAAUAUUCUAUAAGCUAACAACCAACUUUUAUCUAUAUAAAAUUUCUCUGGAUGGGAAAAAAGUAAUGUGCAUCAUUAAAGUCAUACAUUAAUAAAUGAUUAAUAUGAAACACUUGUUCUAUGUAAGUAUUUUUACAGACAAAGAAAUAACAGGGUCUGGAUGGGAUAGACAGAAAGGAGAAUCAUGGACAUACAGUAUAAAAGAAUGGGCAUUAGAGAGAAAAAGAAUGAGCACAAAAAAAAAGAAUGGAGAAUCAUGGGGUGCUUAAAUAUAAAGAAUAGAAAAAUGGAAGAAAAAAAAAUAAAUAGAUGGAAAUGGCCUAAGAACAAAAGGAUCCAUAAAUGAAGACCCCUAAUCCAGAACCUCAUUUUUCUUCAUAAAUCAAAUCAAUAAUAGAAGUACAGUAAUUUCAUGCUAUUUCAAUAAUUUUUUUCAAGAUUUCUCCCACAUCAACUCAC